rnacentral:lncRNA from 1 species
GAAGUGUUCUUGCACAAAAUCAACCGAAGUUAACCGUCCACCUGAAUCAAUUAAAAGCUUUUGUCUUAGAAAAUGAAGUGAGUCCCAAGUAGGCACGAAAAUCUUAGUGAAACAAAGUAUCAAACGUGUGGUAGGCGGCUAUAAUAAACAAGUACAAAGUUGAAUGCAAGCCAUCAAAACUAUCCCAAGAAUCGUACAAAAGACGUCUUUGGUGACAUUUAUCAAACACUCUGUGAGCAAGACAAUAUAUUAGUAGUUAGGAAAGUUCAAGCCCAUAGGAAAUUGCAAAGUCUUCUAACAUAGAUUCCAACAUUGGCAAAGAAUGUCAAAGAGGAAAAAGAACAAACACAUGGUAGGCAUAUAACAAAAUAAUUUUGAAGAUAAAACAAAGGCCCACACAAGCUUUACCAAAACACAACCCAACAAAGACAAAUGAUAUUGUGACAUAGUCCUAAACAAAAUUACCAAAAGAAGUUCAAAUUACACUACCAAAAAAAAAAAAACUCUGCAUUGUAAAGGAAUGUACCUUCUUUGAUGAACUAGUCACUAGCUUUUCACUUCUAAGAUAUGGGUUGUUAUAGAUGUAAUAACUUAUAAAUAUGGGGUAGUAUGAGAGAAUUGGUGUGUGCAAGUGUGGGGAAAAGAGGAGGAGAUUUGAAAGGAAAGAAGAGUAUAAGGAUUUUGUGGGUAGGGAAAUGAAAAGAAAAAGAUUGUGUUGUUGUUUUAAGGAUAAAAACGUGUUGGGCGCCGUGGCGCCCAUGUUACUGAAUUUUUUUUUUUAUUAUUUACUUCCUACCUAUUCCUUUCCUAUAUUGAUUAGAGUGUUGAUGCAACCAUUUUGAGCAUGACCUACAAAAUAAAUAAAAAAAAAACGAACUUAUCAAAUUGGCGUAAGAGGAAAAAAACAUGUCAAAAUAAUGAAAAGAAACUUAAGGAAUAGAACUUGAUUGCCUGCCAAUAAGUGCUUCUUUUACGUCUUUAGCUGGACGUAGAUGUGGUUUCAAGUUGCUUCAUCAAGGGUAAUUUCUUCCACAUCCCAGUUUUUCUCUCCAUAGUAAUGUUUGAGGCGUUGCCCAUUUGCCUGAAAGGUAGACCCAUCCUUGCCUACUAAUUCCAUUGCACCAUAAGGGAACACCUUGCGGAUUACAAAUGGUCCUGAACACCGGAAUUUGAGCUUACCGGGAAAGAGUUUCAAGCAAGAAUUGAAUAGAAGAACCGGUUCUCCUGCCUUAGAAUCCCUCCUUAGUAUUCUCUUGCCAUGCCACAUCUUUGUCCGUUCUUUAUAUAUCUUUGCAUUUUCAUAUGCAUCGUUCCGGAAUUCCUCCAACUCAUCAAGCUGCAACAAGCGUUGUGGACCCGCCAAUUUCAUAUCUAAAUUCAAUUUCUUCACAAUCCAAUAAGCUCGAUGCUCCAAUUCUACCGGUAGAUGACAAGCUUUCCCGAAUACCAGACGGUAGGGUGACAUUCCAAUUGGAGUUUUAAAUGCUGUUCGGUAUGCCCAAAGAGCGUCAUCUAGUUUGAGAGACCAGUCC